rnacentral:lncRNA from 1 species
AUGAUUCCCUGGAUCACAGUCCACACUCUCACUGCUUUGGCAACACACUAAAGUUAGUUCUUGCUUCUUCUUGGAGGUUACAGGGGUGGCCUAUAGAUUCCCCCAAACUGAGAUCUGCUUCUUUUCUUGGAGACCAUCAGAUGUUAGAAGGUGAUAAUAGAAGAUAAGAAAGGUACUUUACUACCUAGUUGAGAUUUUUUUCCCCUCCCAUUACAAUCAAAUUUUUAAAAUUACUAAAAAAAGUAAAAUAAUAAAGAGAAACAUGGCUAUAUUUCUAAAUGAAGCAUUUUGUACUGUAAACAAAUCAUCUCAGAUGUAUCAGCCUGUAGAACUGUUUCUUUUAUAAUGGGAAAAAAUGGUAACAAAUGUCCACCCAUAGUAGGCGGUGAUUCCUCCACUCAAUGAAAUAUUGGACCACCACUGCAACUGGAUGAAGAGGUUAAUGUAAUCACCUGAAUACAUGCUUAAAAUGCAGUAAAUUAAAAAAUCUAUGCGUAUGUGUGUGUAUGGAUAGACAAAAAUCAUAUAAACAACACGACAAAUAUUUGUGCUUCCAUACGAUGCCUAGCUUACCUCAUCAUGGCACUUAUCUGUGAAUUACAAUUGCUUUCUGUAUCAUGCUGCCCCCACUAAAAAGCAUUUGCUAAGCAUUUGUUAAGGCCAAUGCACUGUAAUAUGUAUGAGUGGCAGCAUGAGGGAGGUGGAAUCAGAAUCAAAAUGAUGAACCAGACCUUAGAAACUAGCUGUCAUCAUUAAGAGGUGAACAUUUGCCACCACUCCUAUAUUGUCCACAUCCUGCUGUAUAUCCCAUUUUCAAAAAUCACCACCCCACACAUACAGCAUAUGACUUUCCCAGAGAAGCAGAUUUCACUACCUGUCUAUCUAUUCCCCUUUGAUUUCAUUCUAAGAAUUUCCUUAGAGUAUAACCACUAUGUAUGCAAAACUAGCAAGAUCUGGGGAACAGAUUUUUCUAAAAAAUUUGUUUUAUUUUAGAUUUUUCCACACUGAGGACCAAGUGUGGUUUCUUCUUCUUUUUUUUGCCCAUCAAAGAAAUGUCACAUCUGCUGCCAUGGCAACAAGAAAGAGCUGAAGACAGCAUCUAGAGCUCUCAAACACAGCAGGAAAAGUAUAAUUAAUUGCAACGUAGUCCCUUCUUUCAUUAACACUGUCUCCCAGAGAUGGAAUUUGGAGAGGGUUUCUUGGUCCAAGCUCCCGGAAUGAAUCAUUUUCACCUUGACCACCCCUGCCAAAGGCUCAGACAAAGUACCAGUCAGGAACAGGGAGCUGGGGAAAGGCCAAUGCCCACUCCUGAAGCUAUCACUUCUUUGAUCCUGUGAUGUGACAUAUAUUAGUUAACAUUCUUGAGCCACAGGUUUUUUGAUGCAAAAUUAGUCUAGUAACAACAUUCACCUAGAUUUACUGUGAUCCUUAAUGAAAUAACACAUAUGCAGCAUUAAGCCUAUAGUAUGUGCAGUCUAGUGUAUUACAGUGUGGUUAUGAAUAUGGACUACUGGGUCCAUGUCCUGCUCCUACUAUGUCUUAGUCUUACAGCUAGUCAGCUGGGCAAGUUACUUAGUCUCUUUCAGGCUUCAGUUUCCUCAUAUACAACAUAGUGAUAAUGAUGACAAUGAUGAUAGCAAUACCUCCAUUAUGGAGUUGCUGUAUGGGUAAAAUGUUACAUAAGGUAAUAUAUAUAAAGCAUGUACAAAUGGACCUGGCACACAGUGACAAAUAGUAAGUAUGAACUAAUGUUAUUAUUAUUAUCUCCCUUUUUCCUUUUGGGUAGAGGCUAAUACAAAUCUUUUCUAUAGAUUCUACUCUGUGCAAAAAGGAGUUAAUGUAGCAGGCCUGAGACUGCUGUUCUUGCUUGUAAGGGUGGCCCUUGGCUGACAUCUGGAAAGUUAGAUUUUGGGAGGGUUCCCACCAUUUUCUCAUAAGAAUGGCUUACUGUGCCUAAACUGUUUGUACAAACAAUAUCAUUUAUACUGAACACCUGCUUUCUUUCUGGGAGUCUGAUAUUCUGGUAUGUGCUAGGCAGAGGCUGCCUACAUGACCAGCCCCCAGUAAACCUGGACAUUGAGUCUCUAAUAAGAUUCCCUGGUAGAUAACAUUUCGCACCUGUUGUCGCAAUUUGUUGCUGGAAGAAUUAGGCACUUCCUGUGUGACACUACUGAGAGAGGACUCUCGGAAACUUGCAGCUAAUUUUUUCCAGACUUUGUCCUAUGGUCCUGCUCCCUUAUCUGACAGUUUCAUAUCUUUUUGUGGUAAUAAAUCAUAAUCAUGAGCAUGAUCAUGCUGAGUCCUGUGAACUAUCCUAGUGAGUCAUCAACCUGGGAGUUGUCUUGGGGAACCCCAACACACUCUCUAUAGAUUGCAAAGCAUUUUCACAAAAGUUACCUUAUUGUGACUCAAUCAGUUGCUGUGAAGAAGGUAUGACAGACAUAGUACUAUCCUCCCCACUUUUUUUUGUUGUUGUUAAAAGAUGAGGGACAGAUCUAGUGGGGCCCACUGACUAACUCCAGAAUAUAUAGCUUAGUGGCAGCAACCUAGGACCAGAACUUGGGUCUCCAGAUCCAAGUCUAGUUCAGUGCUCUUCACCUUGCCCCCUCAUUCAUCCUGGGAGGUGGUGAUGAUAAGGUGUUGAAGAUGAUAACCAUGAUGGCUACUACUACUUACGCCCUUAUUAGGUGGUCUGGCACUUCAUAGUCAUCGUCUUAUUUGAUGUCACAGCAACCCUAAAGGUAAAAAUUAGUAUCCCCACUUUAUAGAUGAGGGAAGGAGGCUCAGGAAGUUAAGGAGCCUGGCCCAGGUCACACAUACACAUGUGGUGGAGGUUGAAUAUAAAAUGAGGUGUAUCUGACUCCAAAAUCUGCUUCCUUAGCCAUUUUAUUAUGUGGCUCAAUUUCCCCACUUGUUGCCCUCUGGCCAUGCUCACGAUCUAGCAGUGCCAAAGACUUUUAACCUUCCCUUCAGGGCUGACAACUGCUUCUUCCCUAAAUUCCUGAAACUCCCUUACUGCUCAGUCCUUGUCCAAGUAUUUCUUAUCCCCAAAGUCCUUGAACUGCUGGCCUGACUCCAGGCUCCUUCUGGAUGUAAACUAUGGGGAGUUGAGGUAGAGAAACCAUCAGAAAGGCUAACAAGUAGUAGCCAAGGAGGCAGGCUCUGGAGCCAGACUGCCUAGGUUUGCAGUUUUUUAACUAUGUGAUCUUAGGCAAGUUACUUAACCCCUCUGGGCCUCAGAUUUUCUUAACUGUAAAACUGGCAUAAAUCAUAACACCAUCUAUCUCAAAAGAGUUAUGGUGAGGAUUAAAUGAAAUAAUAUAUGUAAAGUAUUGUAACACUAGCCUGGCACUAGUGAGGGCUCAAUAAAUGUAAGAUAUUAUUAUAAUAACUGUUAUUCUGAAAAAUAUAUUAGAAUUUGAAUCAGGGGAUCUGUGUGCCAAUUGUGCCACUUAAAAGCUGUUUUCUGGACUAUGUGAAAGACAUCUAAAAUAUCUCUGUAUCCUCAGGACCUGGUAGUGUGCCGGACCCAAAGUAGACCCUCAAUACAGGAAAUUCAGAUAGUAAUGGCACUAACGCAAAAGGGUGCUGCGGAGAUACGACAAUGGGAUGACACAUGUAAAGUACCCAACACAGGGCCAUCAGAGAUUUCAAUGCACUGUCAAUCUACAAGAAGGGUAUAUGAUAUGCAGUUGUUUCACAAACACUGUAACAAAUGAUUUUGAAGAGGACAUCUUAGGAUACUCUGAGUUACUCCAACUUGGACAUUUCACAGGUAGGAGAACUAUUGAAUGGUUCUGCAAGGUAAAGACACUUAUUCAAGAAUAUUUCAAUAACUGUACUUAGUACAAAGCCAGGACUGAAUUUAGGUAGUCUGGUUCCCAGUCCAGAAGAGUGUACCUGUUUUCUGUAUGCCAUAUUGCAGGCCCCUACUUGCCAAUGAGAGAGUUUCUGCAAUAGCAACAUCAUCCCUUCUGUUUCAUGAAGUCCUACUGGUUGGAUUAAUAAAUAAUGGCAUUUUCAGGGCAGUGGGUUGCACCCACUAAGAUAUUUUUGAUUUCUAGUACAAAAUGACUUUCCUAGAAAUAUAAUUUCCCAGAAGAAGGGUACACAAGAAAUGUGUGGCUUAAAAUUCACCUUUUAGUCAUUGUAUAAAAGUUGAAGGAUAACUGCUCAGUUAUUACACGGGAGCAGCUGGUGGAAAAACCACAGGCCCAGUGAUGAUGAUAGAUACUGGACAUAGAGGAAUGAGAUCCAUUUUCCUAAUAGGUCAGCAACUUUAUGUUCUAUCUGUGGGUGCCUGUCCUGAAGCCUGUGCUCCCACUGAAUUCCCGAAUUCUGCCCAUCUAAUCCCAAUCACAUUUUCACACUGGACCGACUAAGUCUUUUCCAGCAAUUUCAUUCCUUUUCCCCUGCCCUCUGCAUUCCUUUGUGAUCUCAUUUGGUCUAAAUAUCAUGUGAUGGAAUUGGAAGAGCCAAGUAGGCUAGACUUAAAUUCUGGCUCUGCCUACACUUGACCACCUAGAAAACCUCAUAGAGUUCCUGUAAAGAUUUAAAUACACCUACCACACAUUUAUAUAUAGUAUUUAACAUAGUGUCUAGCACAAAAGUGUUAAAGAAAUAAUUCUCUUUCUCUCUAAUUGUUGUUUAUAUAGUAGACCAAUUUGCCCAAUUAGAUAAAAGCUAAGGGCAGAGGGCAUGGUGUGUGUGUGUGUGUGUGUGUGUGUGUGUGUGUGUGUGUGUAUCCUCACAAUGCUAGAAACAUUCUUUCAUUCAAAAACAAUCUGUUAAAUGCCUCACAGUAGCAGAACAUCUCACAGUAGGUGUUUGCAAUUUAUUUUAUGAUAAAGCUUAUAUGAGAGUAAAUAAAAUACUGUAUGCAAAUUUCUGAAAACAGUGCCUAAACAACUAGUAAGUGCUAUUAUGAUCACUAGAAAGUACACAAAUUUAUUUUAGUGCUGUGAUAAUACUUGGGAUGAGCUAUUUAUCCCAUCUUGACUCCGUCUCAUGGGGUAAUGAUUUUUGCACAGGAACGGUUAAUCCAGUUGAAAAUCAUCACCUCCUAGAAAUGGAAACAGAGACAUAAACAGGAAGGAGCCAUCUAAUUCUUAAGUUUCGGGUGACUCGUUGAAAGCCUGGAGUAAUCAGGGAUGACAAAGCUCAGCAUUCUCAACCUCAGAAGGGUGGCACAAGAAUGAGUCAUAUCUAAGCAGAUCCCAAGCUAUAAUAUUUUCUUGACUUAGCCAAGUCAUGUUUUCUUUGCAAAGGCUUCAUGGACUUAAAACUAAACUGUUUAUAAAAGCCCCUUUUUAGUCUAUGUUUAAGGCUACUGUUUUACAGAAAUAGCAAUAGAAUAAAAAAGUUGGAGAAAGAAUUGGAAGAUUGGGAACCUGGUUUUGCCUCUACCAUGUACUCAUGGGAAGAUGUUGGCCUUUCUCUAUCUUCGUUUUCCCAACUAUAAAAUGUUAUUUUAUCCAAAGAACAUUAAGUAUUUUAUAUGUGCUAAGUAUUUACUGUUUUAGGUGGUGGGGUGCUGGACAUAAAAAAGGUAAGUAAGGCAGAGUCUAGUAGGAAAGAAAAUUAAUUUGAUAAUUGUAAUUCAGCAACUAGUGCUAAAGGCGUAGAUUGCAACAGAGGACUUAAUCCCAAGAAGAAAGAGUUCAGGGGAAACCUCCUUCAGGACCUGGAGCACAGUCUGUCUGGGUAGGCUGUCAUAAGUAUAGUGAAGAUGGCAGCUGCAUGCAGAGUGAGUUGCAUUACAAGGUAUAGAGACCUGAGACCACCUUGACAAAUGUAGAAACUGCAAGGAAUUCAGUCCAGCUAGAUAUGGCUAGAUAAGGAUCAUACAAAGCAAUAGAUUUGAGAAUGUCAAAAACUGAAGAAUUGAAGAGAAGCAGUAAAAGCUAGAUUAGAGAGUAUUUUGUGUAUCCUGCUACAGGAAAUGAGGGACUCUUUCUCUCCAUAUGCAUAUAUAUGUAAAUAAGGCGUAUGAUCUUAUAUAUGUAAAUAAGGUGUCUGUAAGGACACAGACAGGUAAGCAUUUUCAAGGAUCAUUCUGACUGCAGUAUGAUUGGCUUGGCAGGUGGCAGAGAACAAAAGCAAGAAAAACUAUUAGGAUGCUGUUGCAAGAGGACGCAAGUAAUGAUGAGUGUCCGAGCUAAGGUAGUAGCCAUGGGGAUGAGUAUUUGAGAGCUUUUAAGGAGGCAGAGUCAACAGAGUUAAGUGAAUUAUUGAAUGAGGAUAGGAAGAGAAAGGGAAGUAUCAGGGAUGAUGUUGAGGAUUUGGGCUAAGGUAAUGGAUGGAAAGUGUUGUCAUCCCUCCAGACAAAGUGAUAUAGAAACUUGGCUGGGAGAAAUUUGCAAAGGGUGAGCAUGAGGUACCUAGGGGCAUACAAAUUAAGAAGUCCAGUAACAGUGGGAUGGAUAUCAGGAGCUCAGGAGAGAGAUUUGGGCUGCAACUACCAAAUUAGGUCGAAAUUAAAGCUAAUGGAAAUCAUUCAGUGAACUGAGAUUGCCCUUAGAGAUUAAAGUAAGGAAAAAAGCUGAAGGUAAAACCCAAGAGAAUAACAACAUUUUAGAGGAAGAGGGAAGAGUCAUCCAAAGAACUAUGGAUGAGAGUGGGCAGACACAUGAAGACAACCAGAGGAAAAUGUCACAGAAUGCAGGGGAGGAGGA